rnacentral:lncRNA from 1 species
GCAACUUUCAUGGACACACCUGUCAAAGAAGCUUGAAAACAUGACUCAGAACCAAGAUGAGGCAGUGCUACUCACUGUUUCUGAUGGUUGGAAGGAACCAGCUUUUUUCAAAGAGGACAAUUCCAGAGGACUCUUGAAGGAAAGCAGCUUUACAACCUUGUUCCCGAAAUACCAAAAGGCUUACCUGAAAGAGUACUGACCACGGGUGCAGAAAGUCAUGGAUGAACAUCAUGUUAAAGCAACACUGGACUUCAUAAAGGGUAGCAUGACUGUUUGUACAACAAAUAAGACAUUUGACCCUCAGAUCAUCAUCAGGGCCUGAGACCUAAUAAAGCAUUUCCUUUGAAUAGGCAGUAUGGAUACUUCAGGACGAUGUUGCCUGUGACAUCAUUAAAAUUGGCUCACUAGUGAGAAAGAGAGAUUUGUGAAGAGAAGACAGCAGCUUAUUGGUCCCAAAGGAUCUAUCUUGAAGGCACUGGAACUCCUGAUAAACUGUUACGUUAUAGUUUAGGGGAACAUGGUCUCAGCAAUCGGACCUUUCAGUGACCUCAAAGAGGUUCAAAAAGUAGUCCUUGAUACCAUGAAGAUUAUCCAUCCAAUUUAUAACAUUAAAACCUUGAUGAUUAAAUGGAAGUUGGCAAAAGAUUGUGAGUUAUGAUUACAAAGUUGGGAAAGGUUUUUGCCACAGUUCAAGCACAAAAAAUGUGAAUAAACACAAGGAACCAAAGAAGAAGAGUGUCAAGAAGAAGUACACGCCCUUCCCUCCCCUAUAGCCAGAAAGUCAGAUUGAUAAAGAAUUGGCCAGGGGUGGUUCCUCAAA